rnacentral:misc_RNA from 1 species
AGCGGCUAUCGCCGGCACACGCGCACUUGCCACUGUGACUUACACUCAGCCACACUCACAGUCAUCCGACUUCACACCUUCCUCUCGGUUGCAGCGGCUAGUCAUUCUGAAUCCUGUUUCUCUGCCCCGUGUCUGUAAGUGGGCGCGCCGUGAUCAGCUAUGGGCCGUACGAAUGCGAAGAAGCAGGAGGCGCGAGAGGAGCGCCUCAGCAAGCUUCCUCAGUCAGAUCGAUUGGCGAAGAUCGCCCUCAUCAAGAAGAGGGAGGGGCGCGUACUCGAUGCGGCUGAAAAGCAUGCACUGAAGAUGUCGUCGGCGCAUGGCGAGAUUUUGCGCCUAUGGGAGAAGCUGCGCACGAUCGAGGAGCGCACGGAGGAGCAAGCUGCCAUGCCUUCCAGCAAGAAGACCGCAUAUGCGCACAAGUACCCCAUGGUGGACAAGCUCAUGCAUCUCAUCGAGCCCAAGUUCGCGAACCUCGUGCGUACACCGAGCGUGAGCCGUGUGGUGCAGUCAAUGAUCAAGUACGGCUCGGCGGAGCAGGUCAACAGGCUCUUGAAGUGGGUCUCGAAAGACUUUUCCACCUACGCGACGGACGCCUACGCGCAUUUCGUGGUUUGCGCGUUGGUACGCCACGCUCCACACGAGGCCUACAGUAAGUUAAUGACGCACGUGAUACCGUCCGUGCCACAGCUUGUAGCUCACAAGUUCGGUAUCGAGGUGCUCCACUCUGUAUACAGCAGUCGGUGGUGCAGCCCUGCGGACCGCAGCCUCCUCUUGUUAGCUGUGUUUAAAGACAACGUGGCAGUGAUGAAGCGGUGGCCGGGGUACCCGGAGGUGGAGGCGGUCUUGAAGCAGAACCCGUCACUUCAGCGUCGCCUUCUCAGUCGCCUUUUUGACCUCAGCGACAAACUGGUGUCACAGAAGGAGGCGAUUGGGUACCCGUUUGUGCAGCGGCUCGUUGGCACCUACGUAAGGUGCGGCACGCGUGAUGAGGUGAGCGAGCUGUGCGACACGCUGCGUCCACACAUUACCGCUAUUUCGGUCACCCGGGAAGGCGCCCCUCUUGCCUCCCUCGCCUUCUCCUUGACAGAGCCAAAGAAGCGCAAGGAAGUGCUUCACAGCUUCAACGCUCAGCUGGGGGAGCUCUGCACCAGCAAGUACGCAGCACCGGUCAUCGCUCGCCUGUUUGAUCUCCUGUACGACGCGCAGAUGCUGAGGAAAUACGUUGCGAGCGACCUAGCGGAGCACAUUGGGCAGGUAGUCAACAGCCCUUAUGGCUACCAAAUCCUUAUGCACCUGCUCACCCCUCACGAGGAGCGCAAGUGGAGGUUCUUGCUUCCCAACUGGCAGGAGCACAACCUCUUCUCUAUGGAGAAUAAGGAGUGGAACCACCACACGUGGCUCACGCCAACAUUUGUGCCCGAGACUGUAGAGAUUUGCAGCAAGCCUGCUGCCACGUCCCACCUCGCAGCGCUGCCGAUGCUCGUCAAGGCAUUUCUGCGGUAUGUCACCGACGAAGCCAACAGCGCCAAGCUGAACCGCCACCACGCGGCACUCAUUGCACGCGAAGUUCUGCACGUGGUACAGCACGAGCCACUCUACAAGGCCGCCAUUCAGCUUUCCGCGGAUGAGGAGCAGGCGUUGUCCAAGCUGGCUCCCGCACAUGGCAAGCGAGAGCGUGAGGACGCAGCGGGGGAAGUGGAGAAGUAUGCCGCGGCCCCGGAAAAAUGCCCCAAACGUGAACACGGCAGCCAGAAAGCCGCAGCGCUCACCCCAGCCGACAAGAGGAAGAAGACAAAGGUGCCGACGGCCACCUCAGCAGCCGCCCCACUGGGGGGCAGGCGGGUCAAGACGGUUGCAAAGGAGAGGGUCAAGAAGAUUUAGGCCUACGGCCACAUCAGUGGCGGUGCGCGUCCCUGUGAGUGCGUUGGUUUGUGCACGCAUCGGAGGGUUGCAUCAGCUUUAAUGUGGCUAAUGAAGUGGAUGUGCGCCAUCGCGAGUGCGUGUCUCCGGGGGUAGAAGAGGGUGGCUGCAUGGGAGGCCGCCCUCCUCCUCUCUCUCUCUGACAUGUGCGGAGCGCGAAGGUGCCCUUGUCCCUUGGUACAGUGGUGUGCGUUGUGCAAGGAAGGAGGUGGAGGCUACUGCGGCGGCGGUAGUCACUGAAGGAGAAGGAGCGCUUCUCCGCUCGUCCGUCGUUUUUCCUUGCCCUCCCCUCCGACGUGCGCGGCAGCUCACUCGCUGAUGCGCACCCACGAGCGAGCCUGCCGAGUAACGCGUUGCUGUUGUUUAUUAAAUCUCUGGUGGUCAUCGUUCUCGGAUCCCCUAAGCCGAAUUUCGACGCAAGAGCGAAAUAAAGGCCGCCAAAGUUCGAACAGCCACCGCGAGGCUGAGAGGUGUAAGAGAGGAGGCACCCGCCAAUCAUUGAGCUUGAGGAGACUACAUCCACUCGAAGACAUGCAUGCAUGCACGGGUGCAACGAAGACAAGUGGUUUCGAAUACGUAUCUCUUUCCUGCAACGAGGGGUAGUCGACACGUGUGUGUGUACAUGCAGCUGCUCUAUGCGCGCAGAGGCAGCGCUCUCCCACGCGACAUAGUCUCACGCAUUAGGGGGAGGGGAGAUUGCGCUUGUUUUUAAGUUUCCAUGCAAGCACACUCGCAAGGCUCUGAAAGGGGAGUGCCAUUCGGCUCCUUGUCUGCUCCACUUGCUGUCUGGCUG